GACGAACGCUGGCGGCGUGCUUAACACAUUCAAGUCGAACGGAAAGGCCCUGCUUUUGUGGGGUGCUCGAGUGGCGAACGGGUGAGUAACACGUGAGUAACCUGCCCUUGACUUUGGGAUAACUUCAGGAAACUGGGGCUAAUACCGGAUAGGAGCUCCUGCUGCAUGGUGGGGGUUGGAAAGUUUCGGCGGUUGGGGAUGGACUCGCGGCUUAUCAGCUUGUUGGUGGGGUAGUGGCUUACCAAGGCUUUGACGGGUAGCCGGCCUGAGAGGGUGACCGGCCACAUUGGGACUGAGAUACGGCCCAGACUCCUACAGGAGGCAGCAGUGGGGAAUAUUGCACAAUGGGCGGAAGCCUGAUGCAGCAACGCCGCGUGCGGGAUGACGGCCUUCGGGUUGUAAACCGCUUUCGCCUGUGACGAAGCGUGAGUGACGGUAAUGGGUAAAGAAGCACCGGCUAACUACGUG
rnacentral:rRNA from 1 species